ACAGCUAUAGGAGACUCCCACGCUCUACCCUCCUCUCAAUAUGCAGGCCCCCGCAGGCCCCAUGUGCUGGGGCCAAAGGCAUCAGAAGCAACAUCUCAACCUGAACUCAAGCCCCCUGCCUGGCCUCAUCUUGUCCAUCCCUGAACUUUCUGGGUGGAUUCUUUACCAACUGAGCUAUCAGGGAGUCCCAACUAAGCCUGUGGACCGCAACUCCUGAGCCUGUGCUCCAGAGCCGGGAACUGCAGCUGCUGAGCCCACACGCUGCAGCCACUGAAACCUGUGCACCUGGAGUCUGUGCUAGGCAGCAAGAGCAGCCACCGCAGUGAGAAGCCUGCACACCACGACUAGAGCGCACCUCAACGGGCCACAGCUAGAGAAAGCCCGAGCACAGCGACGAAGACCAAGUAAAGCCACAAACAAAUAAAAGACUUCUCUGGCCCUGUGUCCCAACACCUUGAUGGCAACCUCACAACAGACAAUGAGCCUCAUCUGGCUAAGCUGCUCCUGAAUUCCUGACCGACAGAAAUGAGGAAAUAAAAAGCAUUUACUGCUGAUCUUAGUUCUUCAACCAGGGAUGGAACCCGGGCUGUUGGCUGUGAGAGUGCGGUGUUCUAACCUGUAGACCAGCAGGGAAUUCCCAGGACAUUCUUGUUUGACAUUCAAGCAUCUAUUUUCAGUAAUCAGAUUCUAUAGGAUACAGAGAAUCUAAUUCCCGUAUUUUAGAUAAUCAGCUAGGGAUGUAAUUUUAAAAAAUUGAUGUAUAGGUGCUGUACAGUAUAAUACUGGCAUACAAUAUUGGUGUACAAUAUAG
ensembl:lncRNA